CCAGACUCCUACGGGAGGCAGCAGUGAGGAAUAUCGGUCAAUGGCCGAGAGGCUGAACCAGCCAAGUCGCGUGAGGGAAGACGGCCCUACGGGUUGUAAACCUCUUUUGUCAGGGAGCAACGCCGGCUACGUGUAGCCGGACUGAGAGUACCUGAAGAAAAAGCAUCGGCUAACUCCGUGCCAGCAGCCGCGGUAAUACGGAGGAUGCGAGCGUUAUCCGGAUUUAUUGGGUUUAAAGGGUGCGUAGGCGGAAUGCCAAGUCAGCGGUAAAAUCGCGGGGCUCAACCUCGCUCCGCCGUUGAAACUGGCGUUCUUGAGUGGGCGAGAAGUAUGCGGAAUGCGUGGUGUAGCGGUGAAAUGCAUAGAUAUCGCGCAGAACUCCGAUUGCGAAGGCAGCUCACUGGACUGCAACUGACACUGAGGCUCGAAAGUGUGGGUAUCAAACAGGAUUAGAUACCCGAGUA
rnacentral:rRNA from 1 species